rnacentral:rRNA from 1 species
AUUGAACGCUGGCGGCAGGCCUAACACAUGCAAGUCGAGCGAGCGGCGGACGGGUGAGGAAUGUAUGGGGACUGCCCGAUAGAGGGGGAUAACUACUGGAAACGGUAGCUAAUACCGCAUACUAUCGGAUAACCCAUAUGGGAUUAGCUAGUAGGUGAGGUAAUGGCUCACCUAGGCGACGAUCCCUAGCUGGUCUGAGAGGCUGAUCAGCAACACGGGGACUGAAACACGGCCCGGACUCCUACGGAGGCAGCAGUGGGGAAUAUUGCACAGUGGGCGCAAGCCUGAUGCAGCCAUGCCGGGUGUAUGAGAAAGGCCCUGGGGUUGUAAAGUACUUUCAGUCGGGAGGCGUUACCGACAGAAGAAGCACCGGCUAACUCCGUGCCAGCAGCCGCGGUAAUAC